rnacentral:misc_RNA from 1 species
UCCGGUUUGACCCCUUCAGUGCCGAAGCAAACGCGUUGAGUAUCCCGCCUGGGGAGUACGGUCGCAAGAUUAAAACUCAAAGAAAUUGACGGGGGCCCGCACAAGCGGUGGAGCAUGUGGUUCAAUUCGAUGCAACGCGAAAAACCUUACCUAGGUUUGACAUGUAUUGGAAGGAUCCCAGAAAUGGGUCCGCCCGCAAGGGCCGAUACACAGGUGCUGCAUGGCUGUCGUCAGCUCGUGUCGUGAGAUGUUGGGUUAAGUCCCGCAACGAGCGCAACCCUUGUGUUUAGUUGCCAGCAUUUAGUUGGGCACUCUAAACAGACUGCCGACGUUAAGUCGGAGGAAGGUGGGGAUGACGUCCCAAGGUUGGUU